GGCCGCGUCGACGAACGCUGGCGGCAGGCUUAACACAUGCAAGUCGAGCGGUAACAGGAGAAGCUUGCUUCUCGCUGACGAGCGGCGGACGGGUGAGUAAUACUUAGGAAUCUACCUAGUAGUGGGGGAUAGCUCGGGGAAACUCGAAUUAAUACCGCAUACGACCUACGGGAGAAAGGGGGCAACUUGUUGCUCUCGCUAUUAGAUGAGCCUAAGUCGGAUUAGCUAGAUGGUGGGGUAAAGGCCUACCAUGGCGACGAUCUGUAGCUGGUCUGAGAGGAUGAUCAGCCACACCGGGACUGAGACACGGCCCGGACUCCUACGGGAGGCAGCAGUGGGGAAUAUUGGACAAUGGGGGCAACCCUGAUCCAGCCAUGCCGCGUGUGUGAAGAAGGCCUUUUGGUUGUAAAGCACUUUAAGCAGUGAAGAAGACUCCAUGGUUAAUACCCAUGGACGAUGACAUUAGCUGCAGAAUAAGCACCGGCUAACUCUGUGCCAGCAGCCGCGGUAAUACGAGUAGGGG
rnacentral:rRNA from 1 species